UGCGUAGGUGGUUGUUUAAGUCUGUUGUGAAAGCCCUGGGCUCAACCUGGGAACUGCAGUGGAAACUGGACGACUAGAGUGUGGUAGAGGGUAGCGGAAUUCCUGGUGUAGCAGUGAAAUGCGUAGAGAUCAGGAGGAACAUCCAUGGCGAAGGCAGCUACCUGGACCAACACUGACACUGAGGCACGAAAGCGGUGGGGAGCAAACA
rnacentral:rRNA from 1 species